rnacentral:rRNA from 1 species
GACGAACGCUGGCGGCGUGCUUAACACACGCAAGUCGAACGGAAAGGCCCUGCUUUUGUGGGGUGCUCGAGUGGCGAACGGGUGAGUAACACGUGAGUAACCUGCCCUUGACUUUGGGAUAACUUCAGGAAACUGGGGCUAAUACCGGAUAGGAGCUCCUGCUGCAUGGUGGGGGUUGGAAAGUUUCGGCGGUUGGGGAUGGACUCGCGGCUUAUCAGCUUGUUGGUGGGGUAGUGGCUUACCAAGGCUUUGACGGGUAGCCGGCCUGAGAGGGUGACCGGCCACAUUGGGACUGAGAUACGGCCCAGACUCCUACGGGAGGCAGCAGUGGGGAAUAUUGCACAAUGGGCGGAAGCCUGAUGCAGCAACGCCGCGUGCGGGAUGACGGCCUUCGGGUUGUAAACCGCUUUCGCCUGUGACGAAGCGUGAGUGACGU